CGGGACGGGUGGGUAAUGUCUGGGAAACUGCCUGAUGAGGGGGAGUAACUACUGGAAACGGUAGCUAAUACCGCAUAACGUCGCAAGACCAAAGAGGGGGACCUUAGGGCCUCUUGCCAUCGGAUGUGCCCAGAUGGGAUUAGCUAGUAGGUGGGGUAACGGCUCACCUAGGCGACAAUCCCUAGCUGGUCUGAGAGGAUGACCAGCCACACUGGAACUGAGACACGGUCCAG
rnacentral:rRNA from 1 species